GGCGUGGGGGGCGGCUCUGUGGGAUUCAGCCCCCUGGAAACUGCCGGCCACUGGGGAAUCAAGAAGAAUCCUGAAGAAAAGGUUUCAUCUUGUCAGGAGCCAGUUCACAGGAAGUUCAAUACGUAGUCUUCUUGAAAGUAUGCAUCCUAGAAAUGGUCUGAUUUCAGCGUAGCACAUAGCUCAGGAAAGUCCAGGUUCUCCAGUGCAGUGGGUCUUUGACUCUGAAAUGUUGUCCAGCUGUACUGUUCAAAUUCCAGCAUAUGUCUCAGAGUCCCAAAUGUUGUGCAAAAACUGGUCUGGAAGACUUUCUGGCAGCAUAUGAGGAGUUAAAAAUAGGCAUGAACUUUGGACUUUGAAAAGCAGAAGAAGCAGUUCAUUUUUUUUUUGUUUUUGUUUCUAUGGCUUGCAUUCUGAUAACCUGCUAUGCCAAAAUAAGCUGAGUACCUGAACUAUGGAAACAGACUCUUCCUCCAAGAAGACACACACACAAGUUUUUGACACUUGUGCAAGAACUUGCCUAGCACCAUUUCAGUGGGCCUUGCUAGGUUUCUCCAUGUGGAGCAUGAGGAGGUGAGGACCAGGUACACAGCCCAGCAUGGGACUUGGCCCCAAGGUGCUCCUGCUGCUCUGUGGACCAGGGCUUUGUCUCAGAAGCAGGCCCCCAACAAGGCUGGAGGCCGGGCAGUGAGGGGAGCAUGAGGUUAUCUAUUAGAAACCAUUAGGCUUUUUGAGAUCGAAGUCGAUCCAAGAAAAUCCUAUUUUCACUUCAAAAAGAAUUCAAGAAUCACCUCUCUGGAACUGAAGGGAAACUUCUUGGAUUGUAUUUAGGGAGGAAGCUUUGUUUUCUUCAAAAUAAAUUAAGUUCUGAUAUACUUCCACUUGAGGCUUCUUUGGUUUGCAAGACCAUCCAUUUCUGCAGUUAUUCCAGACACUGUUUCUGCGUGUUCCUAUGUUUCUCAGUACUGUCUCAGUGUUCUAUGCACGUCUCUUUUUUCACAGAGGCUCCUUUCUUCUUUCAAGUAAAACUGUAUCCUGACCAGUAGAAGUCAAGAGUUACACAGCUCUUGAGUUCUAUUCCCUCAGUAGCCAAAUAGGCUGAGAUGAAUAAGGAACAGGCAUUAUUUCAGAUAAAAGAAAAAUUAACAAGAUUGGGACUGGUGUAUUUUGUUUUUGUAAGACUAAAGCUUUUUUCAGAAAUCUGCUCAACAACAACCACUUUCUUCAACAAUGUUUAACAGUAUCAUACAGCAACAGACCAAAGCUAGUUCAUUUGUAUGCAGAAGCACCCUUUAGUACACUCAGGCAAACAAAAUCACUUCCAGAAGACAGGAGGCCUCUGAAGUUAUCAUGAAGUAUCAAAGAGAUGAAAUUGACUGGGAAUUUAUGGGACAGAGUGAUGAAGAAGGCUCUUAAACUCCACUUGUAUAAACAGGGCAGUCAAGAGAUCACCUCAAGUACCUGUACACUUCUGCAUGCAGCUUUGGGAAAGAACCGGGAGGAACUGGCCAUCCACACACAGCCACAGGAUGAUGGCCUUGCUGGCAUGAAGGAGAUGUAGUGGAACAGCUCACAUCACCAGAGUGCUGCAAUGGCUGGAUAUAGGCUUGUAAGGAAAGAUGAGCAGAGAAGAGCAAAGGGCUUACUGUAUGCUGUGUAUAGGAAUGGAUCAAGGACAAGGAGCUGAGAUGUACAAGGAGGGUGAGACCUGACAAGAGAAGGAACUCAACAUGCAGACGUGAUGGUGAGUAUCUGCUACAAGAUGCCUGAUCAAGGGAUUGGAUGAAGUUGUCUUUAAACAAAGGAAGAUGUCUCCCAGUUGCACAUCUGAUCCUGAUGAGAUACUUAAACUACCCAGCAUCUAAUGGAAAGUGAAGAUGAAAGGCAAAAACAUUAUGUUUCUGGAGUGGUGCUCCACAUGAGAAAGGCUGUGUCUGGAGUUCUGGGUGCAGCUUUGGCCCUACUGUACAAGAGAGGUUGACAAACUGAAAACUCAGACACUAAAAUGGUUUGGGGGCUGAACACACAGCCUGAGGGACUUGGCUUUGUGCAAUGUGGAGAAGAGAAGGGAUAGAAAGGAUCUAAUUGUUUGUUUGUUUGUUUUUUCUACUACAUAAAUAGAGAUUAUAGAGAAGAUAGACUUAAACUGUUCCUAGAGGUGUACAGUGAAAGAACUGAAGGAAACAACUACAGUUUCCCCUUAUAUACAGCAAAGGAAACCUGACUGAAUGAGGAAAAAAAUCACAGUGAGGGCAGUUACACAGUGAAGGAAGCUGCUUAGAGAAGUUGUGGAAGCUCUGAGGUAUCCUUGGAGCAACCUGCUCUAAUGUUGAAGUUAGCUCUGCUUUAGGUGGGUGGUUGGAAGAGAUGAUCCGCAGAUGCCUCUUUCAAUGUACAAUAUUCAAGAUUAGGCCUUGAAUUAAAAUAUUUCUGUAUGUGUAGAUGGGCUGUUGCCUACAGUUUUGACAAGGCCUUCUGCAACUGGGUCUCAAACAAUAAGACUGUUUCAGUUGCUUUUUUCUUUGGUCAAGCCAGAAUUGUUAAAGCUGGAGUUGCCUAUGCUGAACUACUUCUUCAGGCUAGUGAUUUUUUCUAAGUCCCAUCAAAAGUAAUUCAGUCACUUCCAAAAACAACUGAGCAGAAAUGUGCAUUUUUUCUCUGAUACUAAAGAAAAUGUUUAUAACUAUUUAAUUAAAGCUGUGCUAUUUAGUAAUGUGUUCAAGUUUGGCAGCUUAGAAAAUCUGCACAAAGUUGGCCAAGUCAUGAGUGGCUUAGUUUACAUAAUUACAGAAGAGAUUUGUUGGCACUGAGUACUUGGUCUCCAGCAGUCUUUUUACAAUCAAUGUACUCUAUCUCAGCUUCAGAGAGGCAAGCAGAAAUUUUGGUAUACAAAAAGGUAUCCUGCAGGAACAAUGUGGUAAAGGAACAAAAAUCAUUGAUGCUGCAUGUAACACAACACUGGAGUUUGAGUAACAUAACUGAAUGGAGGCACAGAUAAAAAUUAAGACAGGGGGAGGUGAAAGGAAGGAGUCCUUACUCACAUUGUAAGUGAAGUGGGAGGAUUUAUGAACUCUAAAGUAUAUUGUUCUCCAGAAAUUGAAACCGAAUUUUUUGCUCAUUGCCUUCCUGUGAGUUCAUAACUUUAAAAAGGUAUUAAAUCUUUAAUCACACUAUGAUGUAACAAUUUCCAUUUUCCCUCACAGGAUUUCUGAAAAUAAUGGAUUCUGUUUAUUGAACAGACCAAGCACCUGAAAGAGACUGUAUCAAUGUCUUCAUUUGGAAAAAGAUGUGUACAAAAAGAGUUAGAUUACAGGAAGAAAAGCAUAGGUUUGAUGACAAGAGCAGUUGAAUAUAGCCCCAAAGAACUGAGUCCUGUCCCUGACUUCAUCUCUCCAUCUCCAUGUGAUUUGGGCAAGUUUCUUAACCCAGAUUUUUCACAAGUGCCAACAAUUUUCCAAGUUCCUUCCUACACAAAAUCUUGAUUUUAAGUUGCUUUGUGUAUCUGGCCUUAGGAUGAGAUGCCUGAUGCUCCCCAGGCAUAUAUUUCUAGUCCUUAUAGUCAGCUAGCUCAGAUGGAGUUUUUUCCAGUGCAGAUAGCUACAGUUUGAAGAAAUGAGUGCCACCUACAGAGCUUAAUUCAAAAAAAAUAAAAAAUAAAAAUAAAAAAUAAUAGUAAUAAAAAAAGAAUUAUCACAGCUACAGCAGAACACACUUGGGGCUGUAUAUAAACAGAGAAUCCUAGGGCAUGCUAAACAAUCUCUUAAAAAAAUCAACACCAGGUAUCACAUACCAGACCCUAAAUCUUUAGGUUCAUCUAUUUUGUUUUCCCAUUUAUAAAAUAAAACUCUUACUUCGGGGUUUUUGAGGAAAUGAACUAAUUCACAUUCAAAAAGCCACUUGAUACUGUGCUGCUGAGUGCCAUAAAGGGUGAGCAAAAAAAGGUAAAAUUAAUUAUUCUGCAUUUACAGCACAUUGCAGGGAAUGUGCAGUAAAUCAGACAUGGAGGCAUACAAAAGAAGAAUAUCUAAUUUUUCUCAUUAUAUAUAUAUACUAUAGUCAGGGUACAGUUAUAUUUUUCUGUUUCCAUGCAAUUAAUUACUCUAUUAUAAGAUACAGUGGGACUUAGGCUAUACACUU